UACGAAGGAUGCAAGCGUUAUCCGGAUUCAUUGGGUUUAAAGGGAGCGUAGGCGGCCUUGUAAGUCAGUGGUGAAAUCUCUGGGCUUAACCCAGAAAUUGCCAUUGAUACUGCAGGGCUUGAGUACAGUUGCCGUUGGCGGAAUAUGACAUGUAGUGGUGAAAUACAUAGAGAUGUCAUAGAACACCGAUUGCGAAGGCAGCUAACGAAACUGUAACUGACGCUGAGGCUCGAAAGUGUGGGGAUCAAACAGG
rnacentral:rRNA from 1 species